UACAGAGGUCUCAAGCGUUGUUCGGAUUCAUUGGGCGUAAAGCGUGCGCAGGCGGUUCGUUAAGUUCGUUGUGAAAGCCCCGGGCUCAACCUGGGAACUGCAAUGGAAACUGGCGGGCUUGAGUGUGGCAGAGGGGGGUGGAAUUCCGCGUGUAGCAGUGAAAUGCGUAGAGAUGCGGAGGAACACCGAUGGCGAAGGCAGCCCCCUGGGUUGACACUGACGCUCAGGCACGAAAGCGUGGGGAGCAAACAGG
rnacentral:rRNA from 1 species